AUAAAUGCCUCCGGCGCAGACUCAAGACCAUCAUAAACAUCGCACUUGUACUUUAUUUUUCCUUCAGCAAUCAACUUGGGCAUUUCCUCAAAGUACUGCUCCUGGUAUUGUGGCAAGAUAUUAGCGACAAUGAAGCCCUGUAUUGUGAGACUUUUGACAAGUACCAUACCCAAAUUCUUCACCCUAUAAGGAUUAGGAUUGUUGUAUUGACUAAUGGCACCACAAAAAAUGAUCCGGCCCUGUAAAUUCAUAUUCUCGAGUACUGCAUCCAUUGUUUCACCUCCAACAUUCUCAAAGUAGAUAUCUAUACCUUUAGGACACAAACGUGGUAGUGCUUUAAAUGGACUCUCUUUCUUGUAAUUGAAUACACUGUCAUAACCCGAGUCUAAGCAUAUUUUGAACUUCUCGUCACUACCUACGCUGCCCACUACAUGCAAUCCCAUAGCUUUAGCCAAUUGUCCUGCCAUCUGCCCUACUGCUCCUGAAGCCGCAGAUAUGUAAAUAGUCUCACCAGCCUUUGGUUUGCCAAUAUGCUUUAAACCACAAUAGGCCGUCUGACUGGGCAUACCGAGUGAUCCGACAAAGUCAAUCAAAGGGAGUUUAUAUGGAUUGUUGAUGGGUUGAAGGAAACCAAGUGCUUGUUUACUCACAAACGUAUAUUCCUCCCAUCCACUAACAAAAACAACAUCCAUUCCUGGCUUGUACUGGUCGAGUGUCGAUUUGACUACUUUGGCGACUGUAGAGUUAUAAAACGGUUUUCCCAAUUCCAAAGGCGGAAUAUACGAUGCAUGCUUUGGUGAUUGCAUACGCAUACGAAGGUAAGGAUCAACAGAGGUAUAAAUGUUCUUUAAAAGAACAGGCGUUUCUUCGUCAACUUGCGCAUUCUCCAAAUCGAAUUCCCUUUUUUCAAAAGCUAAGUGUUCUCCUAUAACAGGAUAUCCAGCUGUAGAAUCAAGAUAUUUUUUAAUAAUUACAGCGUUGUUUGAUACCAUCUUCGCUAAGUUAGGACAAUGUUAAAUCUAUAGCGCAAACAAAAAUAAGUGAUUUGGGCCAGAAUUGAGUGAGUUACAAUUUAUAGUCUUCUGCUGCUUAUGUAAGAUGAGUAUUUGAUCAUCGUGACAGUUUGUGAAUGCUCGGAUUUGUGAGAUCUACGGAAUUAUUGGCGAUAUCCAACGCUUUAAAAUUUAAAACAUAUUUUACAAGUAAAUAUAAAGAAUGUUUUGAAGUGCGAAAUUGAGAUUUAAAUGAAUGCUGUUAACUUAUAAUUCACCCAACGCUGAGUGUUGUUCAGGUUCAUUUUUUACUCGUUACUUACAUUUUGUGUAAUAAGUCAAGGAACAACGAUAUUCCACGUGUUGAUAGGUAUUUGUUAGGUAUCCUUUUGGAAACAAUAGUUAGUCCUUACUAAAAUAAGCUAAUAUAUCAACUCGCCAACUUCGAUUUUCCUUUCAUAAAAACUGUAACGAAUUUUUGUAUAGGCAUCAGCACUUAAAUAUCCUCUAGCGGCAUCUAUAUGGCAAUAGCAAUAGCAUCUACCACACUACUCAUAAAAUCUUGAAUUGUAAUUACGCUGUGUUACAGACGUACUACCUCGUAUCAUCUUAGCUUUACAGUUUUACUUUGCGAUCUACUCUACCAUUACUGAUGAGCCCUGUAUCAUAGACAAAUACAAUACCCGUUUGCAGCUUGAAAACAAAUAAAUAACAAAACUAAUUUUAUUAAAGGUAAACAAAAUGACUAUUAUAGACCUAAAAAAUCCUUUAUAGGUUUCUCGUCUAGAAUAUAGAUAAAUUGGAAUCCCAGAACCCCGGGUAUCGAAUAAAUAAAAAAAAAAAACGAUGUUGGCUUUAAAAUCCGUGUAAUCUUUUUCUCUAAAGAUGUUACGCAAAACCAACAGUAAGAGAUCUAAUCUGGAACAAAACGAGCAGCCAACCUUUUCCAAGGCGUUUUGUGUAUGAUAUAGUAAAGAGCAAUUGCAGCUCCAAGAUUAAAAGCUGUGUAGCCGAUCAUAAUGCAAAAAUUUCGCCAUUUAUGGUUGUAGUGGUAGCCAAAGCCCACCAUGAGUUCGUCCGCAUUUUUAUAAGGACAGUACUGGCAACUAGAAUAAGCUUCUGGAUUAUAUACAAUCCCAUGGCCACUAGAAUUUAAAAAGCUACUGAAAUAUUCUCCACAGCUAUAAUUCGGUGGGGGAUCAACGUAGUGAAUUUCAAACUUCUCACAAGUGAUUGGAGCGUCAUGUAGCACUCCUCCUAUCAUGCCUUCUAAGAAAUACUUGUAGGGACUAAGUGCAUCCAUCCACUUCCAGAAACCUACAAUAACACCCGGCAGUUGAAUCAUACCAUUGAAAUACUGAAUAAACACGAAAGCAGUACCACUAAUGAUAGAAGCAGUACCGAUACUAGGUGAAAUCGUAGCUAUACCGAUUCCAAGAGUCGUAUAGUAUAAUGUAAAUAUCAUUAACAUAAGCCAUGCAAAUCCACCAUAGAAAGGAAUGUUAUGGUUGAACUCGUAGAAACCACUAGGAUAGUACCAUCCAAAAAAGAAAAGGGUAGCA
rnacentral:lncRNA from 1 species